rnacentral:rRNA from 1 species
GGCAGGCUUAACGCAUGCAAGUCGAGGGGCAGCAUUUUUUUUUGCUUGCAAACUAAAGAUGGCGACCGGCGCACGGGUGAGUAACACGUAUCCAACCUGCCGAUAACUCGGGGAUAGCCUUUCGAAAGAAAGAUUAAUAUCCGAUAGUAUAUUAAAACCGCAUGGUUUUACUAUUAAAGAAUUUCGGUUAUCGAUGGGGAUGCGUUCCAUUAGUUUGUUGGCGGGGUAACGGCCCACCAAGACUACGAUGGAUAGGGGUUCUGAGAGGAAGGUCCCCCACAUUGGAACUGAGACACGGUCCAAACUCCUACGGGAGGCAGCAGUGAGGAAUAUUGGUCAAUGGACGAGAGUCUGAACCAGCCAAGUAGCGUGAAGGAUGACUGCCCUAUGGGUUGUAAACUUCUUUUAUAUGGGAAUAAAGUAUUCCACGUGUGGGAUUUUGUAUGUACCAUAUGAAUAAGGAUCGGCUAACUCCGUGCCAGCAGCCGCGGUAAUACGGAGGAUCCGAGCGUUAUCCGGAUUUAUUGGGUUUAAAGGGAGCGUAGGUGGAUUGUUAAGUCAGUUGUGAAAGUUUGCGGCUCAACCGUAAAAUUGCAGUUGAAACUGGCAGUCUUGAGUACAGUAGAGGUGGGCGGAAUUCGUGGUGUAGCGGUGAAAUGCUUAGAUAUCACGAAGAACUCCGAUUGCGAAGGCAGCUCACUAGACUGCAACUGACACUGAUGCUCGAAAGUGUGGGUAUCAAACAGGAUUAGAUACCCUGGUAGUCCACACAGUAAACGAUGAAUACUCGCUGUUUGCGAUAUACAGUAAGCGGCCAAGCGAAAGCAUUAAGUAUUCCACCUGGGGAGUACGCCGGCAACGGUGAAACUCAAAGGAAUUGACGGGGGCCCGCACAAGCGGAGGAACAUGUGGUUUAAUUCGAUGAUACGCGAGGAACCUUACCCGGGCUUAAAUUGCAUUUGAAUAAUCUGGAAACAGGUUAGCCGCAAGGCAAAUGUGAAGGUGCUGCAUGGUUGUCGUCAGCUCGUGCCGUGAGGUGUCGGCUUAAGUGCCAUAACGAGCGCAACCCUUAUCUUUAGUUACUAACAGGUCAUGCUGAGGACUCUAGAGAGACUGCCGUCGUAAGAUGUGAGGAAGGUGGGGAUGACGUCAAAUCAGCACGGCCCUUACGUCCGGGGCUACACACGUGUUACAAUGGGGGGUACAGAAGGCAGCUACCUGGCGACAGGAUGCUAAUCCCAAAAACCUCUCUCAGUUCGGAUCGAAGUCUGCAACCCGACUUCGUGAAGCUGGAUUCGCUAGUAAUCGCGCAUCAGCCAUGGCGCGGUGAAUACGUUCCCGGGCCUUGUACACACCGCCCGUCAAGCCAUGAAAGCCGGGGGUACCUGAAGUACGUAACCGCAAGGAGCGUCCUAGGGUAAAACUGGUAAUUGGGGCUA